AAAAUAUGUAUAGGUUAUGAUCUUUAAAAUUAAAGAAUUUGGCGGUAUUUUAGUCUGUUCAGAGGAACCUGUUUUUUAAUCGAUAGUCCACGAUAAUUAGUACCUUAACUACAAAUUUAUAUAUCGUCGUUGUUAAAAAUUUUGGGAGAACUUUAAUUUUUGAGAUUUUAGAUCUNAUAAUAAUUCAGAUCAAGGUGUAGUAUAUGUUGGGGUUAGAAUGGGUUACAUUAUAUAUAUAUGUAUUUUUUGAUUUUUGAAGUUAAGAUAAAAUGGAUUUGAGAGUAAAUUUUUUAUUUAUGAAGAUUGAUUUAGUUCUAAAAUAUGCACACAUCGCC
rnacentral:rRNA from 1 species